rnacentral:misc_RNA from 1 species
UAGCAAACCAUUGGCAACAAAGAAAGCCACCUUGCAACAACAAACCCAGAAGAAAUAGUUUCAUUGUCCUCAAUAUGGCUUUCUUUGUUGCCAAUGGUUUGCUAGAUAUUUUCUUAAAUACCAAACCGAUAGAAACACCGACACCAAAGAGGAAAAAUGGCAUCACGAAAUCUGCUAGUGUCACGCCAAGCCAUGGCGAGUGAUUAAUGGAAGGCAAAGCGCCUCCGGCAUCAUCAACUAAAAUCAUGAGCGCGACUG